rfam:Cricetulus griseus cell line CHO-K1, whole genome shotgun sequence.
GUAGAGAUGGCUCAGAGGUUAAGAGCACUGACUGACUGCUCUUCCAGAGGACCUGGGUUCAAUUCCCAGCACCCACA